CGCCAAGCGACAUUACCGGGGAAGGACAGGCUGUCCCUUGACACCCCACCCCCCCACCUCCCAAGUGAGGGCACCCUCGCUCUCUCAGCAGUAGGCCUGGCCCCGCUGACACCCAGCGCUAAGGGAGGGGAGAGCGCGCUCACCAGGCCAGCCUGCCGCGACAGGGAGCAGGCGACGGAGGCAGCCAGGCGGGCGGAGAACAUGACGGCGGCGACGGCGGCGACGGCGGCGACGGCGGCGACGGCGGCGACGGCGGCGACGGCGACGGCGGCUCCCUCAAGAAAGA